CCUCAGGCCGAAGACGCCGCCGGCCUCCGCCGCGAAGCCGUCGGCCUCCGGCAGUAGGGAGGCGGCCUCGGUCUCGUUCCCGAGCGGCACUAGGCUCCCCGCCGUUGACUGGGUGCUGUCCCUGUCGCUGGCCCGAUCGGUCGCGAGGGAGAUGUCAGUGUACCUGGGCAGGGCCGACGGCGCGGCGAAGAAGGAGAGGCGCGGGCUAGAGGGCUAGAGCUCGCUGUGGACGAGGUACGUGGACUGGCUGCACCAGCACUGGAUUUAGGGCUUUUCCUUGGACGCGAGCCGAAUCAGGUUCACGGACGAGUUCGUGGAGAAGAUGGAGCCUCGGUUCCAGGCCGCGUUCAAGGCGAUGGAGGAGCUGGAGAAGGGCGCGAUCGUGAACCCGGCCUGGACGAGGGCCGCAUGAUCGGGCAUUACUGGUUGAGGAAGUCAGAACUCGCGCCGGCCCGGUUCCUGAUGCACGCUCGACGCCGUCUACAAUUUCGCUGCCGACGUGGUCAGCGGUGAGGCCAGUUCUGGAAUUCCGGUCGUUGUUGCUCUCCGUGUGAUUAAGCCCCUCUUACUUCUCCCGUGGAUCGCUUUCUCUCUCGCCCUUUCAGUUGGAAUAGGAGGUUCAGCUCUUGGGCCACGGUUUGUUGCAGAGGCAUUGGCUCCCAGUAAUCCUCCUUUUAAUUGUUAAAGACCGGAGUGUCCAUCCUCCUCUCACAAUCUACCCUUAAGGAAGCAGCCUUGCAGGAGUUGGUAUUGCUCUAUGCUGAAGAAGUGGACGAAACUGAUGUUCAAGGGUGUUCCCAUAACACGAGAACUCGUUGUUGGACAAUACUGCGCGGGUUGAGGGCUGGUUGGCUAGGUUUCCAAUGUUUGAUCGGGUGGGUGGUAGAACAUCUGACAUGUCUGCAGUUGGUCUAUUUCCAGCAGCCCUUCAAGUUCGUAAGCCUUACUUCUAAUCUCAUUGUGGUUAUAUUCUGAUUUGACUCGAAGAGCAUAUUCAUUAGCGAAUCCAACUUUGGGGGAUUGAUAUCAGAGAAAUGCUUGUUGGUGCAUCCUUGGUGGAUGAGGCUACCGCGACGAAAGUGGUAACAU